AUUGAACGCUGGCGGCAGGCCUAACACAUGCAAGUCGAACGGUAACAGGAAGCAGCUUGCUGCUUCGCUGACGAGUGGCGGACGGGUGAGUAAUGUCUGGGAAGCUGCCUGAUGGAGGGGGAUAACUACUGGAAACGGUAGCUAAUACCGCAUAAUGUCGCAAGACCAAAGAGGGGGACCUUCGGGCCUCUUGCCAUCGGAUGUGCCCAGAUGGGAUUAGCUUGUUGGUGGGGUAACGGCCCACCAAGGCGACGAUCCCUAGCUGGUCUGAGAGGAUGACCAGCCACACUGGAACUGAGACACGGUCCAGACUCCUACGGGAGGCAGCAGUGGGGAAUAUUGGACAAUGGGCGCAAGCCUGAUGCAGCCAUGCCGCGUGUAUGAAGAAGGCCUUCGGGUUGUAAAGUACUUUCGGCGGGGAGGAAGAGCAUCAGGUUAAUACCUUGCCUCAUUGACGUUACCCGCAGAAGAAGCACCGGCUAACUCCGUG
rnacentral:rRNA from 1 species